UACGGAGGGGGCUAGCGUUGUUCGGAAUUACUGGGCGUAAAGAGCGCGCAGGCGGCUGGUCAAGUCCGAUGUGAAAUCUCCCGGCUCAACUGGGAAACUGCAUCGGAAACUGAUCGGCUUGAAGGUGGGAGAGGGUAGUGGAAUUCCCGGUGUAGUGGUGAAAUGCGUAGAUAUCGGAAGGAACACCAGUGGCGAAGGCGACUACCUGGCCCAUUCUUGACGCUGAGGCGCGAAAGCUAGGGGAGCGAACGGG
rnacentral:rRNA from 1 species